UGAAGAUCAAUAAACAAAUUUUCUCACAGGGUAAGGCGGCAGACAACCCUGAUCAGCUAUCCUAGAAAGGAAUGCAACGCAUACAUUCCAUUCUCCAGACCCAGGACUAGCUACAGUGGGAUUUCUCGGUGGCAGAGGAAAAACAAGAAGAUACAAGCAUCUGGUCUUUGGAUUUCAGGCUAUUUAAUGAGGCAGUUUGGACCUUGAGUGGACCAGGAUUUCUGGGGUGCUGCCUUUCCUGUGACUCUCCUGCACAACUGACCUUAGAAUCGAGACAGCGCUGGAAGAGCCCCCAUGGUUCUGAGGAGAGAAGGAACACAAGCAUGGAAAUCCACUUAGUUUCACUUAGUUCAGCAAACAAAUCAAGAACCAUGAACCCCUUCUUUUUGUCUUCUUGCCAUUUUUAUUCUUAUAUGUCUUGUUAAUCUUUGAUAUUUACACAUGAGGCAUGUUCCUUUUCACAUAUCAUUCAAAUAGUUUGGAAGUGUGUAAAAUAUAAAAUAGGAGUCCUUCAUCACCCCAUAUACUCAGUCCCCUCCUCAAGAUGCACCUUCACAAAUCCUCAAUACCCUAAAGGACAGUGUGGUUGAGAAUUUGAUAUGUAUCCUUGCAGAUGUAUUUUUUUCUUCUGUCCAACCACAAAGAGUACCCACUUCACUGUUUCACUUAUAGCCCCAACAAUCAUGUGAAGGGUUACCACUUUCCUUAUGAUGAAUAUAAAGAUCAUAAAGGUAGAGUGAGUGGCAUACUGCCGUUAUAGGCUGUAUGUAGCAGUCAGGGUUGAAACUCUGACCUUGCUGUCUAAAUCAGUGGAUUCUUACCUCAACACCAGGCUGCCUUG
rnacentral:lncRNA from 10 species